ACCCCCUACAAAGUUGUGCCUUUGGUUCCCUGUCUUUGGAUACAUAAGAAUUGGAGGCAAAGAAAUGUGGAUUUGGAGAAGUCUGGGGGGCAUUCCCAUGGGCUUAAGAUCAAUCAUCCCACAUAG